ACGUGAGCGCUCUGCCGUCUGCCGGCCCGGGUGGAAGUGACGCGCCCGCACCUCUCCAUCCCCUCGGCAGCCCGGGAGCUACCCCGCAGUUAGGAUGGAGAUGGAAACCAAAACGGGAGACGUGCUGCCGACUUAGAGGCCGAAACGCUGUGGCUUGGACCUGGUUCCCCUUCCUCCCGCUCCGGUGCUCGCCCUUGCUCCUCUCCGAGGAUGCAGACCGGCUUUCCCCCCCGUGGUGACCGCGGAAGCCCGGCACGGGCCGACUCCGCUGAGACGAAAGGCAGAAAAGUCUCUGAUUCAUCCUGCAUGGCUUUGUGGUCUUGUGUGCAACCUUCAGUGUGGCUUUUGUGGACUGGCUCAGUCUGGAGAUGUGGGUUACCAGGCGCUGUAUGUUUGUGUCCCCCUAAAGUUCGUACAUGGAAACCUUCAUCCUCAGUUGGGUGGUAUUUGGUGAUGAGGCCUUGGGGAGGGGGUUGGUCAUCGGGUCACGGGGGUGGAGCCCUCCUAAGCAGGUAGUGCCCUUAUGAGAAGAGACACGUAAGAGCCCACGCCCCCUCCCCUCGUGAGGAUACAGUGAGAGGUGGCUGUCUACCAGCCAGGAAGGAGGCUGUCACCAGACGCCAGACCUGCUGGCGCCUGGACCUUGGACUUCCAGCUUCCAGAACUCUGAGGGAUGGGUGUUUGUGGUUUCAGCCCCCCAGUCUGGUAUUUUUGUUAUAGCAGCCCCAGGGGACUAAGACCCGUGGUGGGAGGGCUCAGUGAGGCCAGGGUGCUGUUAGCAGGAGGACGAGUGGCUGCCAGACAGCAGAAGCAGUAGUCUGGAGGUGGGGGGGACCUGUACUCUGUUCUGUCGGUGACCGUUUGUAGCCAUUUCUCCUAUCUGGCCUCAGUUUCCACGUUAAAAGAAGCAUUGAGUUAGGAGCGCUCCAUCGUCCUUGGCAGAGCUCCUGUGCUGUGACAGAAUUCAAUACCAGUUUCCCUGAACUCAGAGUCUGACACAGUGGAACUUCUGGGGACCCACAGUCCUCCCCGGGGGCACCACCCCCACGCCCCACCCCCACGCCCCACCCCCAGUCCUUUCAGCCUUUGCAGAGCUGACUCUCUUCAAUUGUCAGGAGGCCUGCAUUUUUCUGCCCUCGCCACAGCUGAUAGUCCUUGUUCCCAUAUCUGCACUUUUGUUUUAACCUUCGUUUCUUGUUUCUUGUCUAUCCUCCUUGCCACGUCUCUCCUGGGCCAGACACAGUAGGUUCAUAUCCCAGCUCCGUCACUUACGAGACGAGUCACUACACCUCUGAGCCUGUGUCCUCGUCUGUAACGUAGGAAUAACACCACUUGUGUCUUUGGGUUGGAGGGAGGACGAAAUGAGAAGAGUACGUGAAGUGCUUACAAGCACUCUCAUAUGACUAGUAUUGUUAUUAUAGUCUCUGCAUAUUUGGGUUCAAGGCACUUGGCCAUUUGCAUCAAGUAUUAGAGUUUCAGAGGCAGCACUGGGUUCAGCAGCAUUCCAGAUGAUUGAUAGAGGGCUGCUUUCAGGAUGAUGGACAUUGCUGUAUCUGUCUCUCAUAUUUGGGUCACGGAGGGAUGGCUGGAUAGAUGACAGGCUGGGCGGUCUGGAUUUCCCCCAACACUUGCCCGUCAGUCACAGGAGAGAGCUCAGGCUUUCCAAAUGGCUGGCUCUUCCCCACCAUUUCUACCUUCCACUGUAACCUCAGUUCUGUGGCAGCUUCUGUGAACCUUUAAGCCAGCCUUGGCAGAACUGGCUGCUGUGCUCCUGGCCCCAUCAGACUUCUAAACUUCUACGCAGCCCCCACUGUCCCACAUGCCGUACCCACCCUCCUUCUACUGUCCAUUCUCAUUCAGCCUUAAGUCUCAGAUCAAAGGUCAGCUCUUACUAAACCCAAAGAAAAGCAGACGUGGGUUAUUUUGCCCUCAUAUUUUGUAUGUUCUUGAUUCUGGCCCCCCACAUACUGUCUUAUAAUUGUUUUUCUGUCUAUAUCCCUGACCACAUUGCAGUAUGUUUGAGGGAGUGACUUAAUGAUAUUUUUUUAAGAUUUUAUGUGUUUAUUUGAAAGAGAAAGAGCAUAAGCAGGGGAGAGGGGCAUAGGGAGAAGCAGACUCCCUGCUGAGCAGGGAGCCUGAUGUGGGGCUCAGUCUCAGGACCCCAGGAUCAUGACUUGAGCUGAAGGCAGACACUUAACCGCUUAACCGACUGAGCCACCCAGGUAUCCCAAGGGAGUGACUUUCUUAUUCGUAUUGGAAUUUCCAGGGCUUAGUAAUUGCCUAACACAUAAUAGGUAUUCGCUUUUUAUUAAAGGAAUUAAUAUCCCUGCCCCAGGUCCCCAGAUAAUGGGUAAGUCUUGCACUGAAAAAUGUUGGAAGAGCCUGAGCAAAAAGGGCAGAGAUGAGCAGAACUGGCCCACACACAUCGCUCCUCUGUCCAUUUCAUCCCCCACCUCCACCAACAACGAACAUGGCCACCUUGGCCCUUUCUUUUUUUUUUUAAAAGAUUUUAUUUAUUUAUUUGACAGAGAGAGACACAGCGAGAGAGGGAACACAAGCAGGGGGAGUGGGAGAGGGAGAAGCAGGCUUCCCGUGGAGCGGGGAGCCCGAUGCGGGGCUCGAUGCGGGGCUCAAUCCCAGGACCCUGGUAUCAUGACCUGAGCUGAAGGCAGACGCUUAACGACUGAGCCACCCAGGUGCCCCGCACGUUGGCCCUUUCUUAACAUGGCUUCCAGUAGGCUCCGCAUGCGUUAAAUGGAGGUGGUAAGGUUGUUCCUAAGAUCUUUCUGGUGGCCUGUCCUUUUGCUAACUACUGUUCGAUUUUUCCUUUCUCUAUGGAAACUCAUUUGCUAGGAGUAAGCUCUUAAUCACGAGUGGUUCAUGGUACUUUCACUUUAAAUCUGUUUACAGUUUUUCCACCCUUUGUAAAGCUGAUGAGUCAGAUGUCUGGCCGUGAUCCUGAUAAGGUAGGCCCCUGGACAGCCUUGCUCCUGGACUUCAGUUAGCCCUUCUCACUACUCAGCCAGUACGGCCCUGCUCCCGAUAACCCACACUGUUCAGAGUUACAUAGGUGCUAGAUGAAGCAGUUAAAAAUGUGGUGUUCUGGGCGCCUGGGUGGCUCAGUUGGUUAAGCGACUGCCUUCGGCUCAGGUCAUGAUCCUGGAGUCCCAGGAUGGAGUCCCGCAUCGGGCUCCCUGCUCAGCAGGGAGUCUGCUUCUCCCUCUGACCCUCCCCCCUCUCACGCUCUCUCUAUCUCAUUCUCUCUCUCAAAUAAAUAAAUAAAAUCUUAAAAAAAAAAAAAUGUGGUGUUCCCCCCAUCUCUGGCAGAGGAAAACAUGCAGAAACCAUCUGUUAAAAAGGACAACUGAAAGUUCAUGUAUGUGCAUGUCCUGAUUCGCAAAGGCAACAGUGCCUUAAAGUGAAGAAGUGAUGUUUUUGUUUCUAAGAGGAAACCUACAACACCUAAAAUCUAAAACUUAAACAGACAAUGAACUAAACCUGGAAGCCAGUGUUAGUCACCGUCCCAGUUGUCUGAUCUCCGCCUGGUUAUACAAACUCACGCAGACAUGGCCAAGUCUAGCAUUCAUUCAACAGCCAUCUUUGGAGUGCUUACAAUGUUAGAUUAGUGCUAGCGCGGGUGGGGAUUCAAAUCGGCCAAGAGACCUUUUCCCCUAGAGCUGAAAAGGUCCAGUGGGGGAGAGAGAACUAUAUUAGAAGCCAGGAAAGACUAUAACCUGUAGGGGUGUACUUGAUUGUUUGUAUAAAGGUGGUUAAUUCGAGGCUAAGGAGGAUAAACUGAUAAGGUCAGUGGUGAAGUACAAGGGUCAGGAGUAGACAAAGAAAACCCAGGUUAAUUUGCUUAACAUAAAUUCUACUCCAGGAAGCAACAUAAAGCUUGCACUCAUACCUUAAAGUCCUUAGCUUUUAUGUACCAGUAGGUAUACGGGUCUGUUUAUCUCGUGGGCCAGAAGCUUCUCAUGAAGAACUUUAUACUUCUUGUACAUAUCACUCUGCACUAGACCCCAUGACCGCUACUGGUUGAUAGUAAUUGGAAGAAUUUUUUUUUUUUUUUAAGAUUUUUAUUUUUAAGUAACUCUACACCCAGUGUGGGGCUUGAACUCACAACCCCAAGAUCAAGAUCCACCCGCUGCACUGACCGAGCCAGCCAGGCUUCCCAGGAACUUCUAAUGGCAGUAGACUCACAGAAUGUGCAAAAUCAAACCAUAAUCUGUGUUAUACUUGUAUGUAAAAGAAACAUACUAUAUAUUUGAUUCCAGAAAUAUAAUUUGUCGAACAAGCCACUUGUACCUAAACUGUCUUUCACUGCGUUUUACAAUCAUUUACACAAAUGAAGUUUAUCAUUAGCCUGCUCUGGAGUGAGGUUUCCUAUCUCAAACCCCGUCAGCUCUCUUUCCAGCACAGAAAUGGAGCUCCGCUGACAGUUGCCGCAGGUAGGGUCUGCCCUGGUGGUAGCUGAGAAAGAAGUUCCUGGCCUCAGCUCUCCCGGGCUUACCACGGCUCUCCCAGGAAGGCAGUGCAUCAAGGAUGGGUGCCACCAGCCACAGACCCAAGCGGGCCCUUCUGAGGCAUUCUGGUAGGCUCCACGCCCAGCAUGGAGCCCAACAAGGGGCUCGAACCCACGACCAUGAGAUGAAGACCUGGGCCAAGAUCAAAAGUCAGACACUUAACCGACUGAGCCACCCAGUGCCCCCAUAUAAAAAUAUCUUAAAGAUUUUGAGGUAAGGAAUGAUUUCUACAAAAAAGAUGUAGAAAGCACCAACUAUAACGGAGGAGAUGGACACCAUUAAAAGGGUAAAAAGGCAAGCCACAAAGCAGAAGAGAUUUGCAAUACGCAUAACCAACAAAGGGCUAGGAUCCAGAACAUAGAAAGAAGUGCCAAUCAGUAAGAAAAAGACAAACAUUUAAAUUGUGAAAAAGGUGAAGGACCUGAACGGGCACGUAAGAAGAAAGAGGAAAUACAAAUGGCCAAUAAACAUGAGAAAGUGCCCAACCUUAGCGGUAGGCAGGGGAAUACAAAUUAAACCCACAAGGAGUUGCCUACCAGAUAGGCCAAGUGGAAGCAGAAGUUGGUGCUAUCACCGGGGAAGUCAGUCUGACCUUAUCUCGUGAAGUGGAAGAUAGGCCUGCCCUGUGGUCAGCAGUGCCUUUGCUCAUACACGCACCAGGAGCACAGGUGAGAACAUUCUCAGCAACAUUGUUUCUUUCGGCUCAAAGUGUCCCGCGGCCGUGGCAUGAUGAGUAAGUGUGAUGGAGUCAUAUAGCGAGUGUUAAUGGGUAACCGAAAGUGAAGUACAACUAGAUGCAACAACGUGGGUGAACGUAGCACGUAUGGUGACUAAAAAAAGCUAGCCUCAGUCGUUAGGCGUCUGCCUUCGGCUCGGGUCGUGGUCCCGGGGUCCUGGGACCGAGCCCCGCAUCAGGCUCCCUGCUCUACGGAAAGCCUGCUUCUCCCUCUCCCACUCCCCCUGCUUGUGUUCCCUCUCUCGCUGUGUCUCUCUCUUCAAAUAAAUAAAUAAAAUCUUUGGGGGAAAAAAAAAAAGCUAGCCUAAAGGAGUACAUAUGAUCCCUUUUGUAUGCAAAGUUCGAAAAUAGGCAAGAAUUUAAUUAUAAUAUUUGAGGAUGUAUGUUUAUAGUAAAAAUAUAAAAAUAAGUAAAUGGUUACCAUAACAUUACCAUAAAAACCAGGAUGUGGAUGCCUUCGGAGCACCAAAGGGACAUACUGAAGCUUUGGGAUUGUUGCCAGUGUUUUAGUUCUUGACCUGGGCAGUGGUUACAUAAGUUUUGCUUUAUGAUAAUUCAUAACAUUUUUGUCUCAGACGGUCUUCUCUAUUUUAUAAUUUAAAAAGGUUUAUUUUUGGGGUGCCUGGAUGGCUCAUUCGGUUAAGCGUCUGCCUUCGGCUUGGGUUGUGGUCCCGGGAUCCUGGGAUGGAGCCCUGCAUCAGGCUCCCUGCUCAGCAGGGAGUCUGCUUCUCCCUCUCCCUUUACCCCUCUCCCCUGCUCGUGUUCUCUCUCUCUCAAGUAAAUUAAAAAAAAAACAACCUAAAAACUAAAAAAAAUCCAGAAAACCCUGAGCAUUUAAAAUAAAUAAAUAAAAUAAAAUAAAUUUUCCCCCCAAAGGACAUAUGGUUAAAGCAACAGUCCUAGUUUUACCUGAAGGAGAUAACUUACCAGUGACGGCGUCACACAGGAUUUUUAAAAAUGUUGUAGCUCAAAUAAUCCAGAAAAAAAGACAAGAUGACGUGCCCUAGAAAUCUAUUUGAGGGCGCGGAGAGCGCGCUGGCAUGAUGGUGACACCGGGGUGAUAGCGACAUGAAAAGACGUUUGAGGCGUUUCCAGAAAAGUAAGAGUGAGAAACAUUUUCAGAACAUUCAUACAUGUAUCUCUGAUUUGAAAUGUGUACGUAAAACCAAGUUAAUAAAUAGUACAAGUUGCCGUCCAUUUCAUUUUUAUUCUCAAAAAGUUGAGCACAAGUCAGCCACAUCUUUUCUGGGAGCUUCCCAGGGGAAAGAAGAGCGCAGUCUGCGUUGGGACAGUCCCAGUAGCUGUUACCAGCCCCAUCUGACGAAUACAAAGGAAGAGUCAUUUGCUGAUGUUCACACAGCUAAUUUUCAAAUUUCUGGGGUUGCAGACCUAAAGGUGGACGGGAAUCCACGGCAAUGGGAAGCGUGUAACUCACAGCAUGGACGGCAGCCUGGAAAACCAGGUUCAGCAAACAAGGGGGAACGAGGGCCCCCGAGAGCCACCAUCACCGUGCCCUUCGUGCCGCAGCAACAGCCCGACCGGGGUGCGGGCAUUGGUGCUGUGGGAGUUGCCCCGGGGCCACGGCCUCCUCCCCGUUCUGGACCCGGCACGGGGGGCACGCAUUCCAGUCUGUCCAUUCUCUCUGUCACGCGCUGCAGACCCGAAGUCCCAGGCUCAGGUGUCCAUUGGGCCAACAUCAGCUCUUCCGCCUAUGCCUUAGGGACUUGGGGUUUGAGGGAGCAAGGAUCUCACCUUUUAGGGUCCCUCCCAAGAUUCCCAGAAUAUCUGGGCAACAGAAGGUAGUUCACACACUGAAUGGUCAGAAAUGGCCAUUUUCAUUUUCCCUUUAGAGGCGGGUGGUGACAAGGCCAGGACCAGUGCCCAGGACAGCACGCAUUUCCACUGUCCCUUCUGUGUUUCUUUGGACCUGGGGGUGAGAUGGGGGGCAAACCCCAGUCACCAGUGGCAAUAUCCUCACCCCCUCGUGUAGUCGCUGGAGUCAGAUCCCAACAAGGGGCUGCAGAUGGGAACCUGCUGAGGUCACCACAAGAAUCAGUCCCAACAGCAGCUCUUGAGUUAUUUUUAAGCCAGUCAACAGCAGGCCAAGGACAGGGUGGGUGCAGGUACAAAGAGAAAUACUCCAGGCUCCUGCUCUAAUCUCUUAAAACAUCAGGUGGGGGCACCUGCGUGGUUCAGCUGUUCGAGCGUCUGGCUCUUGGUUUCCGCUCACAUCAUGAUCUUAGGAUCGUGGGAUCUAGCCCCGCGUCAGGCUCUGCACUCAGCACGGAGUCUGCUUGGACCUCUCCCUCUGCUUCUCCCCCUGCUUAUGCUCUCUCUAAAAUCAGUUAAUUAAUUAAUGUAAAAAAAAAAUUAGCUGUAUGUUAUGCUGCCUUUAACAUAAGGUCUUAUUAUAGAAUUCCUGAAUUCCUCUUUCUAGUCCUCCUUUGUAGUUCCAAGUGUAUGUUUUAAGGGUGAAGUGCUCUAUGAUCUUUUCCCAAUUUAUAUUUUGCAGUUGUUAUCACUCUUUAUCCCUAAAUGAUGAAAAUCAUCAAUUAAAGGAAGCUUUAGGAACGUCAACUUUGGGGUUGUUUGACAAGCUACUUCACGGUGUGGUAUAGUUCUUUAGGCAUUGUAAGUACUCAGUAAAUGCUGGAGAGGGGCUGGAGGUGGGGCAGGUAGUGGAAGUGAUUUGGAGAAAUGGGAGAGAGAAUGUAUUUGAUUUAGAUAUGGAGAGGCCUCUAUAGGCGGCCAGUAUGUCUCCUGCUCCAAAGGUAAUGAAGUUGAGAAAAAAUUUAUAAAGGAAAUUUCUCCAGAAACCUAAAAGGACCAGGACCAAGGACCAGAGCAGGGUGGGAUCCCUGACCAGGGCCUCUGGGCAGCCAAGAAGGCAGGUAAGCUGGCCCCAAAACCACGCAGGAGUCCACUCUCAGUGCAGGUGGAAAGGAGGGACUUAGACAAUUAGGUGCAUGAGCCAGGCCACUCUGUGGGCCCAGACUGUUGUCCUUACUUGACCAAGGAUGACCCUGGGGCUUGGGGAGGUCACCCGGCCCAGAGGCAGCUGGGAUUCAACCUUUAGGCACUUGGCCCCAGAGCCUGUGUUGUCAUCCCUAAUCUCCUGCCUCUCUGUGCAGUUUUAGGAUUUCUCUGAUGGAGCUACAUCUUAGCAGGGGCCUGAAUAAAGGAGUGAGGACAUGAGUGGCGCGCACAGCGGGAAUGUCACGUGCAGCAGCCCGGGACCAGCGAGGAGGCAGAUGGCUGGAGUCCAGGAGACAUGAGGCUGAGUAACAGUGGGGACACAGCCUGGCGACACGUUGGCUGCAGGCUUGUGAGACCCUGAGCAGAAGACCCGGUGAGGCCGUGCCCAGACUCCUGACCAACAGACACUGUGAGAUAAGAAAUGUGCAUUGUUUUAAGCUGCUAAAUAUGUGUAGUGUAGAAAAUGAAUACAGUAGAUUUCUAACAUACAUAUAUACACAUACAGAUUUGUGUGUGUGUGUGUGUUGAUUUCCCCCUGAUGAUAAAGCAAUGCUUUGUACUUGUUUCUGUCAGUGUAAGUAGAAACAGCUAAAUGCAUGGGACCAAGGAACAAAGCCAGUGGCCCCAGAAGAAGCAGGAACAGUCAGUGCUGGUGAUUAUUCAUGAGAGCAGGCACGUGCCUGCCCCAGUGCUCGCACACAAGCCAGGUAGUGAGCGGGCUUCACAGCACGUCCCCAGGUAGGCAGUAUGUCACCCAAGUGUCCUCAAGAGAAGACAUCACCGUGAAGAUUCAGUCCUUCAUUUCUGGGCGAUAAAAUUUCUAGAGGCCUUGCUAAUUUUAAUACAGUGCUAACAAGGCAGGGCACCUGAGUGGCUCAGUCCGUUAAGCGUCUGCCUUCAGCUCAGGUCAUGAUCCCAGGGUGCUGGGAUCGAGCCCUGCAGCAGGCUCCCUGCUGCCCCUCCCCCUGCUUGUGCUCUCUUGCUCUCGCUUACUCUCUCAAAUAAAUAAAAUCUUAAAAAAAACUUGAACAAAACCACUGCUAAUAAGGCAAACAUAUAUAUAUAUAUAUAUAUAUAUAUAUAUAUAUAUAUAUAUAUAUAUAUAUAUUUUUUAAAGAUUUUAUUUGACAGAGACACAGCGAGAGAGGGAACACCAGCAGGGGGCGUGGGAGAGAGAGAAGCAGGCUUCCCGCAGAGCAGGGAGCCUGAUGCGGGGCUCGAUCCCAGGACCAGGACCAUGGGAUCACGACCUGAGCCGAAGGCAGAUGCUUAACGACUGAGCCUCCCAGGUGCCCCUAAACAUAAAUUUUUAAUAAUGCUAACAGAUGAAGUCACUGUUUUGUAAUGACAGGACUAGAAUACCACCCAGCAAGACUUUAAAAAAUGCAUCAUUUUAGGGGUGCGUGGUUGGCUUAAUCGGUAGAGCAUUCGACUCUUUUAGAGAGAAAGUGCAUGUGCGUGCAGGGUGGGGGACAAGUAGGAGGGUAGGGACGUCGUGGGUGGGGAGUGGCAGAGGGAGAGGGAGGGAAUCCCAAGCAGACUCUCCACUGAGCACAGAGCCCGAUGCGGGGCUUGAUCCCACAACCCUGAGAUCAUGACCUGAGCUGAAAUCAAGAGUCAGAUGCUUAACCAACUAUGCCACCCAGGCAUACCUGAGCAUGUGACUCUUGAUCUCAAGGUUCUAAGUUUGAGCCCCACACUGGGUAUAGAGAUUACUUAAAAUCUUCAAGAAAAAAUGCAUCAUUUUAGGGGAGACAUAAGGCUGCAAAGAACUAAAACCUGUGUGAAGGGUUUGGGUUUUCCAAAUCUGACCGAUGCAGGAAAUGACAUUUCUAAGAAGCAACUUUAGCCUAGAUCCAGCCCUGUCCAAGAAUCCAUCUAUAACCAAAAUACCUUAACUCAGCUGGUUAGAGAUGGUAUUCUUUUUGUUUGGGGCCUUUAACCUGGAAAAAUAUCAAAUAUAGCUAUAAUCCUAGAAUGAUAGUUAUUUUAUUUUAUUUUUAAAGAUUUUAUUUAUUUGACAGAGAGGGAACACAAGCAGGGGGAGAGGGAGAGGGAGAAGCAGGCUUCCCGCUGAGCCGGGAGCCCGAUGCGGGGCUCGAUCCCAGGACCCUGGGACCAUGACCUGAGCCGAAGGCAGACGCUUAACAACUGAGCCACCCAGGCGCUCCUAGAAUGAUAGUUUUUUAAAAAGUAAAGGAAAUCAUGAAGAUGAUGUUGAUAUUUAGCCUGAGAAAUUAGUCCAUGCCUUCUGUGCUGUCUGAGGUGUUUGCAAUAAUUAACCAUGCCACAUUUAUAACUACAGGUUAAGCUGUUGAAGAGAAUUACUUCUUUUGUGGUUGUGUUUUAGAUGUGAAAAGAAAGAUUGUAAAAUUUGGUUCAUAAGAGCUUACACUGAACAUGAAAAAAGUACAGGGAGUGUGGGUUUGCUCUUCAUGCCUGAUGCUCCAGGACAGUUAGGACCUAGUCCACUCGGGAAAGAUCUGGGUUCCGGAAUCUGAGUGUGGGGCCCGGCCUUCCAACAAACAAGGAUAUCUUUUCUAUUGUAGUAAGAGGACAGAGGCCCUGGGCAUCUCUGUGAAGGUGCCAAGAUCUCCAAGUGAGAAAAAAAAAGACAAAUUGCACAACAAAACAGAGAGUGUCCACAAGGGGGAAAAGUCAACCCUAGUAAAUCACAUAUGCAUAGAACUCCUGGGAAAGAAAGAUGACGAGAUCCGCUCCAAACCCUUUACUGUGAUACGUGUGGGGGCUGAGGGACUGUGUUUUUUGUUUGUUUUUUGUUUUUUUAACCUGAUGUCAAUGUUUGAUGUGCAAAUUCCUGUACAAGGUUCUGGGCAGCACCCAGUGCUCGGAGACAGAGACCACGCACUACGCCUCACGCUCACUCAGUGUCGCAUACACGCACUCACCUCUCACAAAAAUCCGAUGAGGUUGCUACAGUUCUUACCCCAUUUGACAGGUGAGGAAACUGAGCCCUAGGCAGGCUCCAAGUUAGUAGGUCAAGGAAACGGAGGCCUGGAAUCCGGACGGCUUGACCUCCUGGAGCCUGUGUGCUUAAUCAGAAAACUGCAGGGCAGCCCGCCCUACCCCGCUGACUCUCGGAAACAGUAACAAGACCAAUCAACUCAGGUUGCCAGGAGAAUGUGCCGAGCGAGCGACGUGGGAAUCCCAAGGAGGAAGGAAGAUACUCAGCGGCGUAGAGCAUGCUGCCCACGGUGCCGUAGCUCUUGGCCGAUACCCCGGAGAGCCGGGGGUUUGUGUUGCAGGCACUGGGGUACCACUGCUGGGUGUAAGCAAGGAACCCUGUCUGGGGACGCUGAGCGCAGUGGCCCUGAAGGCUGAUUCUUCCCAUGCUUGGUGGGAAGGGUGCCCCGAGGGACUAGAGGCUGGGACACCCUCGGGGGGCCUGGAGGUGACAGAGGCCAGGACCCGUCGCCAUGAGAUGGACAAGAAGGUUGUGUCCCCUCUAAAAGAAAGACCUCAUACUUACAGCUCAGUAAGGCUGUUUUUUGGGUUUCUUAAAAAGGACGGGCUGUAUAGAUCUUGGUUCCGACGUGUAGGCAUACCGGAGGGGUAUUCCGAUGUGUUUUCACUGGGGCCGGGGGGGCUUCUCUGAAACUAAAGAGGACUAAGGGUUGCAUUGUGGCUAGGAUCACCGACCGCAAAUUAUUCUCCACUAUCCGGUUUUGCUCACCGUCAUGAUGGGAACUUCAGAUAAGAGCUCAGGUUUGAAAACAGAGUGCCUCGGGCAGUGUGGUGUGUGGUGUGCAAUGAGCACAUUUCACACCCAUUCCAGCCUUUGGCCCGCAGCAGGCUGAAGUGCUGGUGACCAGUGAACACAGGACCCACCGUGGACAGAGUGGGCCCUGCGGGGCUUCUCCCAGCAGGCCUUGCUUUUCGGGAUCCUGACACCAGCUUUAUGCACAGCUCCUGGGUACCCAUUUUCUCCUGGCUGAGGUAUAGAGUACGUUUCCCUUUUUCUUAGGUCUACAUUGGAACCCCAGAAGGAACUCAGCUGAGGAAAGUCAGGGAAACAACCCACAGAAAUGAAUGAAUGAUGGUUUUGAAGGGUGCUUGGUUCCUGGAAUUCAGGGGGCUGUUCUUGCCUCAUGGCUCAGGCUACCAUCCCUGUUGCACCUGUCCCUACUGACAGUUUCCAGGGACACAGGACAAAACCCAACACUGGCCUUUGUCUUUGGUGCCGGUCACAUUUUGUCCUUACCUGGCUAGCCCUACAGUUCCUAUCUCUCCUAAGUUGUGGAUUUGAUCCAGGAUGCCCUUGGCAGUGGUCUUAAAUGGGCUUCGCCUUAACUGCCAGAGGCAAAAUCCCAUGGGUGGUACCUCCAGCCUCUUCCUAGUGGUGCGACUCCAUGCUUGGAACCUGAGAAUCUUGGAACACGGAAGGAUUGUGAGGCUGCAUUCUGUCCCCUGCCUGGUUCCUCCUGGGCCCUCCAGCCCCGCGAUGGCUCCUCCCCGGGGGCCUUCUCCUCCAUCACUCCUUCAUGUCAGCCACUGCCUGUCUUCUGCGGGAGCAUAAGGGGGCAGUUCCCAGCCCCGUCCUCAGGCUCCGUCCCCGCGCCCAGGAGCAGCCCCCUGAAGCUAGCCAUGACAACGGUGCAAGCAGCAGGUAGGGGCCACGGGGCAGGGUGGAGCGGGCUGGCCCGAAGGAGAGGGGCUGAGGAUGGGGAGGGGCCUUCAGCAGAGGUGGCCUCUCUUCCUGGGGACCUCAGCCCGCUCAGUCCUCCAAGCUGGCUGGUUUCACAAAGCUCCUUCACGAAACCACGUCAAAGCCUCAGCCUCUUCUGCUUCACUCUGCAGCUUGCAGAAGAACCAAGUUCUGGGUGUCACUGGCCAAACAGAAUAAGGGCUGAGAGAAGGAGGCCUUGGAGGCCAUGCCAGGGGCUGUAAAAAUCAUCUGGGGCAGCUCACAGAGGUCCCUCGUGGCCCCAAGGAGGUGACCUCUCAUCUCAGCUUGGGAGUGGUCAUUUGCUUUCCCCCAACCACAGAAGAGUCCCAGUUGUCACCGAAUUCAGUGCUCUGGUAAAUGGUAACAAGCUCACCUUGGUUUCUCUUUACUGUCAUGAAUUAAACAAUGGUGACAGAUUUCAAAAGGAAAUACCUUUUGCAAAUCUGAGUAACUUUCAGUGACCUCUGGGAGAGGGUAGAAAAGGUACUUUUUUUCCCCCCCUGAAUGAUACUCUGUAAUCACGAAAACCACUGAGAUCCCAAAGGGCAUCAAUCAUCUUCAUGGGCAUCUUCCCUAUACUCUAGGCACUCUUGGCUUUUUAAAACCAGGAAUGGCUUUCUGGAAUGAUCCAGACCUACUUCUAGCCUGAAGGGGGAUGCACUUCAUGGUCUAUGGGCCAGAGCUCAAUUCUGGAGGCCGGAGGAUCUAAGUUUGAAUCCUUACCAGCCACAUGACUUGGGCAAGGUCAGCGGUUUUGAGCACCUACCGUCCCAGGCACUGGGGAGACAGGGAGAAGGCACCAUCCCGGCCCACAGUGGGCCUCACUUAGUGGAGAGAGAGGUGCUUUCCUUAUAUGUCAACUGGGGGAAAUAAAAUCUGCAUGUCCUGGCCCUGAUCUGAAUCCCCACACACAACAGCAUGACAAAGGUUGGGUUUCUCCCUGUCAGUUCCAUCCAGGAAUGGUGAUGCUGUCGUUGUGGGAGAUGAGAAGGUAGACAUGCCCCCACGGAGGAGACAUUGUUAGAGUUUCGAGAGGCUGCUUGAAGCCUUAGUAUAAGAGAGCCUGGCUUACAAAGGUUAAGUGACGAGCUCAGACAAGAGCUGUUCUCAGUUUGUAGAAAUCUGGACGGCAACCAGCUGUUGUUCCAACCUCAGCCCACUUCCUCUGGGCGCUGCCCUCAACAUCCAUGAGAGAGAGAGAGAAUUUGGCUACAGUUUUUUUGGACGCCCCCCUGGCCCCAAUCAAGAAGUCUUGGAAAAGCACCCUGUUCGGUGACUCUGCAUACGGCAGAGAUAAAGGCGUUAAGUUAAUUUUGCAUGUGGUUGCCACAGACGUGUUUGACUGCCAUGUUUUUGCCCAUUAUUAGUCCAGAUACAUUGGUUAUCAUCCAUUAAUACUGAGCUGCUUUUCAGGGGUUUUGGGUACAGCUACUUGGAAACUUAUUUAGCUAGAAACUUGCUAUCCAGAAUUUGCUCUUUGUUCGUGUGAGAAUUGCUGGAAGAUGUUGACUUAGACAUUUUUUAUGUGUCAUUGCAUGAGUGUGUUCUACCGGGUAGACCUACGCAGCAAGGACCACCUCUUAGAGAAUGAAGGGCGUAGUAUGGAAUUAAAUAUGGUAAUAUAUAUAUAUAGAUAGAUGAGAAUUACCCUGUGACCCAGCGUGAAAUUGUCACCUGUAUUGCAUAGAAACAUAUGUACUUAAUUUAUAAAAUAUUUAGAAAUAUUUGCCUAGUAGAAUUAUAAGGCUUACCACCAGCUUACCAUAAAACUUAAAACUUAGUGCUCAUCUAAGAUAAACAUUUAGCAAAUAUUUGGUGAGCGCCUUCUCUGAGCCAGGCGCUUGUAAUUGGUUACAGCCUUGGAUUUUGAAAUAUUUACUGCUGCUUGCCUUUUUUUUUUUUUUUUUUUUUUUUUUGCCACAAUCCCAACCAUGUGAGAUGCUAGUUUCCUGAAUGUGCAAGACACUCACAUGAUGGGUAAUCAGCAGUCUGCAAAAAAGGACAUGGAUCCUUGUUUAGUUUCCUCUGGCUACAUCUGAGGAGAGUCCUUGGUGACUGUCAAGGUCUGGAGGACAGUGGCACCUCCCAGGCAGGGGCCAGCACGUGGACGGCCUGACCAGGUCCCCUGCAGAGCGCUCCCAGCAAGGACCUGUACACAUAGCAAUUAAAGUCAUAUUUCCUCACUUUUAUGGACGUGGCAAUACUAAAAAAAAAAAAAAAAAUCAAUGUCUGCGUGAUAUGAACAUGCAGAAUUUCAGCUAUCUGAAAAAUGUGCACAGAGGAAGGUAUGUUCCAACUCUUCAAUCGGAGUGUAUUUCUGGUAAAAUCGGCAGUGGCUGGCUUUUCCCGUGCACUUUGCGUGGAGGCAGGGUACCGGGAUGACUAGUACCGGGAUGACAGGAAUGCUGAUGUGGGAUCUGAAGAUCCACCUUUCCUGGCUGGGAGACCUUGGAAAAGUUACAGGACCUGAGUCAAGCAGUUCAGGGCCAUCCAAGCCUACUUCAUGGGUUGGCCCCGAGGAAGAACUGAGGUGUUUAUAACAUCGACUGAGUAAAUUUAAAGAUCAAAUUGACUGUAUUCAGUGACUCGUGAAGGGGGCAGCAUCCCAUCGUGCAGAUAGAAAGGAGCUCCAGAGAGCUGCACAAAAUGGGAGACUUGUAGGCAGAAGGGGGCAGGGCAAGGAGAGAGCAGAUCGCUUUCUCUAAGGGGUUAGAAGGGUUCUGUCAUGUGGGUCACCUCACUACCGCUGGCCAGGGAAUUCCAGAUGGACUGGUUUAAAACUGCACUCCUGGGAAGGGCUGAAGCUGCAGUUUGGCUGGGUAUUAAGUCUUGGUUUGCUGACAUGGGGCUGAGCACAAGUGACUCCAUUCGGGGCUCAUCUCUUUUUUGUAACAUAGGUGAGAUUAUUCCUGGUCCCGCUCUGAAGUAGCAUCACUGGUCUCGGUCAGCGCUUACACUGCCAUGUGGUCAAAUCCUGACUCUCUAGCCUCGCCAAGUGCCCAUUCUCCUCGGUAACUUCCCUACUUCCUCUUCUUUCCUGGAACCCCAGCACCCCUCCCCUAUCCUCAGUCUCACUGCUGACCUUGCUUCCUGUGUCAUACAGAAAACAGAAGCAUUCAGAAGAAUGCUCCCACAUGCUCCACCUUCUCCCAUUUCUGUGGGUGACGCUGGGAUCCCAGCACGGGGCCCCUUCUCCCCUCUUUCUCCCAUAUCCUCCCUCUUCCUAAGAGGAUUGUUCCCACCAGGAUAUACACGUGCUGUUACCGUCCUUCCCCUCAGAACACAAGUAAACAAACCGAAGCUGGUCCUUCUGGUCUCACGGCUGACUCUGACCUCCCUCCAGGCUCUGCUCACCUUCUCGAUGCGCCCACUCCAAACACCGAUGCAGGAUCCCACACCACUGCACCGCCUUGGUCACCUGACCCCCAUCCCUUGACCCUGCUCAUUUCUUCCCUAUAGCACUCACCACUUUCCAUGACUGCCUCCACCCCCAGUGGAGUGUAGCUCCACGAGGCAGGAUGUUGCCAGCUUUGUUGCAUCCUGGGCAGAGUAUGUGCUCCAUAAAUACUUGUUGAGUGGGUGAUCGGCUGUCAGCCACUCAGACUGUCUCAUCUUUAUCAUAAGGCUAAUGCUUCGUAGUUUUCUUCCUGCACAGCCUUCCUUUGGUUAGGUGUUUCUUCGGGAUAUGCAUGCACAGAGUCAGCCUGUCUGGGCCUGGCCUCCCCACAUGUCCCCUCCAGACAGCUUCUUCUGGUUCAUGUCCAUGUUCUGGCAACAUGGUCACCUGGGCCAGAAACCCGAGCAUCAUGCCUAUUCCACAUCCGUCCAGGAGGUGACCAAGUCUCAAUGGGCUCUUGACCUCUCUUUCCCCUUUCCUCUCCAUCUCCACAGCUGUCCCUCCCUCCUUGAUUCCCUGCCUCUGAACUACCCUCUUCACUGCUGCCAAAGCCAUUUUUUUCUAAUGUGCAAAUCUGAUGCUGCUCCUCCCCUGUUUAAACUCUGGCCGUUCUGCUGUAAGCUCUAACGGGAUGCUAUCUCACCUCCAGCAUCUGGGCCCCACCUCUUCUGGCCAGCCCCACCCUUGCUUACUGGAGACCCUCUCAGGGUUCGGAUCACACCAAGUGACUCAGCCUUGGCAGGCAGUGGGCUGCUCUUUGGGAUGGGAGUUCAUGCUACCUGGAAUGCUGGUCCCCUGGUCCCUUGGGCCAAGUCACCACUGGCAUUCUAGAUGGGACUUCUACCCUGGUCCUCUUAGGGCACCCAGGGUUCAUGGGCACCCCUAACCCUCUCACUGCACAUACCUCACUGCACUGCCAUUGUAGUUUACUGUCUGACUCCCUACCACACUGCUUCUUUUGUGUGUCCCUGGCCUGUCAUCUUUGUCCCCCUCCCCCCCCCCCCCAGGCCUUUCAAGGCAGAACCCAGGAUAACAGGUCACACUCAGCGUGCUCCUGAAUGAAGGGGCAGGACCUAUUUUGUGUCUGUGAGCGAUGUCCACCAAAGUGAUGUUGGGAAAUCCCAAGCCAUGCCCUCUCAUUCAUGAACAUGGAUUUCCAAGCUAGGGGACACCGCUGGGG